ACCGUACUCCUACGGGAGGCAGCAGUGGGGAAUUUUGGACAAUGGGGGCAACCCUGAUCCAGCAAUGCCGCGUGAGUGAAGAAGGCCUUCGGGUUGUAAAGCUCUUUUGUCAGGGAAGAAACGGUAGUAGCUAAUAUCUAUUACUAAUGACGGUACCUGAAGAAUAAGCACCGGCUAACUACGUGCCAGCAGCCGCGGUAAUACGUAGGGUGCAAGCGUGAAUCGGAAUUACUGGGCGUAAAGCGUGCGCAGGCGGUUGUGUAAGUCAGAUGUGAAAUCCCCGGGCUCAACCUGGGAAUUGCAUCUGAGACUGCUCGGCUAGAGUGUGUCAGAGGGGGGUAGAAUUCCACGUGUAGCAGUGAAAUGGGUAGAUAUGUGGAGGAAUACCGAUGGCGAAGGCAGCCCCCUGGGAUAACACUGACGCUCAUGCACGAAAGCGUGGGGAGCAAACAGGAUUAGAUACCCUAGUAGUCAUUGAC
rnacentral:rRNA from 1 species